AAUUUCAAAGAUCUCAAAGUUUACGUAUAGUUAUUGAAAUAAAUCUAGAAGAGAAAGUUUGUCGCCAAAGUUGAAGACAUAUUGACAAAACGUAAUAUGAGAAGAUGUUGAAUAAAAUUUAUAUAUAUCCUCUGGUAUUAAUUUUAUGCCAAAUGGAAGGAGUAUGUUGCGAAGGAUCCGCAGGUGGAGAUUUAAACGUCUGGACAAUACUGUCAAUAGUAAUAUUCUGUGCUGUAAUCUCGUUUGUGUUGCUCGUCGUCUGUUCUAUCUCAUGCAAAAUACUACAGUGCCAAUCAUAACGUGGAUUACUUGAUGAUAGCUAAUAUUUAGUAUAAAGCACCCAUGCACACAGAGAAUCUCCAAAACAGAAAUGCUGUUUCCAUUUUUCAGUAACCCAAUCAGAAUGCAUAAAUAUCGUAUCAUCACAUAUCAUUCAAACCUAUAUGAACCAAAUCAGUUUAAAAUGGGCAUAGAUAGAUUAAUCAGACGAUUAUCAGACACAAUUAAUCCGUAAAAAAUGAGGUAGUGUGCCUGUAUAAAAAAGGUAUAUAGCUAUAGUAACCUGCACCGGAAAAGCACCCGCCUACUGAUCGCCGACAAUGCGUUGAUCAAGAACGCAAGGCUAAUAAUAGUGAUGCUAUUUAUUUUAUAAUACAAGUCAAUAAAAAGAUUUUGUACAAAUAUUAUAAUUCGAUUCAAUUACAAAUUCUCAUUACAUUACUUCGCUUGUCAAAUUCGGCG